CUACAGAAAACUGUUUGCUGGGCUGACCCAACUGCUCUGGCUUCAGCGAAGCCCUCGAAGAAAAGAAAAACUUGCCGCACACAAGCGGCGACUCUCCUUGGUCAGAGGUGGCGUGGCGGCGUGGAGAGGCUGCGAAUCAAUCCUCUCUCUGUGGAACGGCGGUGGCGGACGACGGCAUCCUCGGCGGUAGCGGGGAAUCAGCUUCCACUUGUGUUCUAAGCAGACCAGAUCAAUCAAGAGAUGAAGAGCAGAGGCACGUCGGUUCGCAGAGCGCUUGUUCAUCCUGGACAGUAUCACAAAAAGAAGAAAGCAAUUCAUAGAAGCACUGCAUUUGUUUGGUCAUCUGGACAUGACGACAAUAUCAAGCUCUUUGUUUGGACAUCACACAUGUAUGUGCCUCUACUCCAACUUCACAUCACAUGUAUAUUGCCAUUGAAUCCAACAUAGAGAUGCUCUUUAUUUAUUGUUAGUUCAUCAAAUGCUUUAAGCUGCUCUUGAUUUGAUACAGAAAAGCUGGUUUAUUAUUGGUUCAUCAAAUAGUCUAAGAUGCUCUUGAUUUGAACGUGUGAUGGAUUAAAAUCAGUUGCAUUGAAAACUUGCCCCUAAAAACCAUGUGGGCUUUCACAAUAGUGACCGUGAGAGGUAAAGUGAGACAAUUGGAACAUUGGGUUUGAUUGUACUUUAAAGGUGUCAUAUUAUAAUAGUGAGUAGCAGCAAACAAUGAUUUAGCACGAAUCUGUCAAAUUACAUUUGAUUUAGUUGACAAUAAUUUUUACAUUGUUGCUCUGUCCUUGAUUGACCAUUGCAUGUCCUAAUAGAACUUAGAUUAUUUUGAUAUUUUGUAAGUUGGAAUUUUUAUAGUAGCGGAUUAUGCGACGGGAGGGCGACGCCGUGCUCACCGCACCUUUGUAUGGAUGGGCCAGAAUAAUGAGAUUUUGCUGCGACUGUAACAGGGGCCUUGUUUCAGAAGGAAAGAAUGGUUCGGGGAUAUUGCAACAAGACUCUUGUUGCAGCAGAGGGCCAAGCGCACCACUAGUCUUGUACUCUUGUUGCCUGCUAGCUCAUGUGGGAGAGAUCGGACGGCUAUCAGGGGCUGUGGAUGGCCGGCGAAGCCAGUGGUGGAGGACCCGGUCGGGCAAGGCCUGGCGGCCGCCAUGCCUUGAUUUGGCUGGUGUAGGCUCGGCGCGGCAGCGGUGGCCAGUGACCAAAGUUAGCCCUACCUCAACUUUGUCCAUCAUCCUCCACCACUGGGCGAAGCGGUCGAUCUUUUAACACUAUCACCCCGUGAGCGCAUAUGAAUUUUGCAUUUCAUCAAUCAAAACAUAAUAUUUCCA